GCCUGCAUAGCUUAGUGGUAGAGCGUUGCACUUGUAUUACCUUGCCAUGCAAAGGUCGCCUGUUCGACUCAGGCUGUAGGCA